rfam:Chlorocebus sabaeus isolate 1994-021 chromosome 14, whole genome shotgun sequence.
GCCAGGUGUGGUGCCGGGCGCCUGUAAUCCCAACUACUUAGGAGGUUGAGGCAGGAGAAUUGCUUGCACCUGGGAGGUGGGGGUUGCAGUGAGCUGAGAUCGUGCCACUGUACUCCAGCCUGGGUGACAGAGCAAGACUCUGUCUCAA